AGAAAGUUUUAUGAGAAGUGAUAAUGUCAUAAUUUUGAUCAAAUAAAAAGAAAAUUAAUUAAUACAUUUGUGAUCAGCUCCUAUUCUUUCAAAAUGGAAAUACAUAGACUACUGAUAUUAAUACAAUAUGAUAUUUUACAUCCAGAGAUCCACAAUAUCAAAAUGUUUGUUUGAAAUUAUUAGUUGCUGUUUUGUGUUUACCAGUUACUCCAUACAAAGUCGAUAAAACAUACACAAUGCAAAGGACUGGUAUUUACAUUUUAUUUACAACAUAAAAAUAUAAUGCAUAACAUUCAUAACAACAAAGGGCACAUAUGUAGGAAAGGAACUUUAAACUGGAACUGAGAAAGGAUUAUGCUUAUUCCAUAUUUUAUACAUUUAUUCAGUUACAUGAUGAAUACAUGAAAUCACAAUUUAACUAGCCUGAAUAUUCUAAUAUCAGAGGGGUAUUUCAGAAAGCAGGUUAUGUGACAUACCUGGGUUUAAGAGUAAGCAAGCGGAUAACCUCAACUUUCGAUUCCAAAAACUUUGAGUUUUUGGAAUAGCAACUUACUCUCUGAACAUAACCUGAUCUUCUUAAAUAAUUAGCAUCAAACAAAAAAUAUGAUUUUUAUUCUCAGUGAAUAAAGACGGCUUGUUGCUUUGGGACCAUUUUGGGGACCCCAAAAUUUCCGCCGUCUUUCCAUACCCAUAUACAGUGUUAUAAAUGCAAUAUCCCAGUGUCAUUUUACAGAAAACCCUUUGAAAUGACAUAAAACACUGCUGAAAGUGAUAAAUAUUAUAGUAUAUGUUGUCUAUUUGUAGCUGUUUGUGGCUGAUCGAAGCAGUCAUCGGAGAUGGAAUGUGACGCUUGUCUUUUCUCUCAGUGUGAUCAUAUUUCACUGCGCGAUUCUUCGAUCUCUGAUUGUUACACAAUGAAAUAAACUACAUGGGCAAAUUCCUUAGAAUGAGAGCUUUCUUGUGAUAUAUGACUUGACUGUUUUGUGAAAAAGAUAAAAAAAUACAUAUUCGUAGAAAAUUUUCUUCGCAAUCGUCAUGCGGAAACGUACCAAAAAAUAAAAGUUAGAAUCUAAGCUUUCAAAUGAUACCACAUAUGGAGUGAUACCAUAUAGGGAAGCCUUUAAAAUUUAUGUGUAAACAUUAUAACGUGGUUUUCAAACACCUAUAAGGGUUCGUGGAGUUGAAGAGUUUAAAUGAAAAAUGGGUGAAAAUCAAAUGGGUGGCGAUGUGCACUAAGUAGGUUAUGUAAAUCGGCAUUAAACAAAAGAAGAAGGAAGUAGAAUGGCGCGCUUUUUCUUAGCGUUUGUUUCCAUGGUGAAUCAUCAUUCGCUCUGUUGUGUUGAGAAUGUCUUGUGUGUUAACCGGGAACAAACUCUUGGUUGGUUGAACUUACUCCCGGACGCGUUUUUGGAACCAGCAUAGCUCAGGGUAUAUGUGACGGUAAGUUAACCUUGCUUUCUGGAAUACCCCCCAGACACGUUAGGCCUAGAUACAUUUAGAGAUCAUCUUAUCUAGAGAGCGACUAAAAAGUGUCUUUCAGUAGGACUAUUAUAUUUUGGCAUGUUUAGUCAUUAAUAAAUAGUUGGAUCAUUAAUGAAUCCUGGUCGCGCUGAUCUCCUCCAUUAACCACCUCGGAGACGGAGAGUCAUGAAAAUGGUGCUUCCAGAUGUGAUGUUGUAGUCUUGCAACUUCUUGCCAGGCUCCAGUGGUUUGCUGUUGCAAGUCAGACACUGCUGAUCCUUGGGGACUCUCUCUUUCUGGAAGAUCUUAGUCUGGAGCUGAUCUACGGUCUCGUUGACAUC
rnacentral:lncRNA from 1 species